GAAUGUUCACCACACUUAGUAUGUGACAGGCUACAAUCAAUUAAGCACUGCUUGGGGCAAACGUUGUUCUAAAUGCAAAUGCAAAGCCUAAAAUCACUGGCAGUGCUCUCUUAUAAGGUGGUUUAUCCAGAUGGUCAGAAUAUGUUAAUAUGAUGUUUUUUAGAUGAUAUUUGAAACAAGGCACCAUCACAUGCAUGCAUGCGUUCUUACAGAGAAGUUCAAAAUCCCCCCAUGUGUUUAUGGACACCAGUCUGGAAACACCUGGGUCAGGGAAUGAGGCUCAUACACAGAUUUUCAAGAUACGGCCCUGGCCUCGUGUCCCGCUCUCCCACAUCAUCUCCUGUGCUGUUGGCAUUUCUGCAAAGACUACAUGAAUUCCUAAGGCUCCAGGUCUCUUGCUGGCCCUUUUCUCCUUCCCUUGACUCUUUGGAGGAAUAGGAGCUUGCCAAUGGGACAGACGGGCACCCUUAUCACCCCAGAGGGAGCUGGGCACACUUUUCUCUCUGCUCCCUUAACGUAUGUAAAACAUAGAGUACAUUCGACAUUAUUAUUACCACUAUCGUUAUUAUUAUCACAACCCCCAACAGGGACCGUUAUUGCACUGCAAUUUUUUAAAACGUCAGUAACCUCUAGCUAUUUAUUUCUUUGUCUCUCCCACUGGUGUGCAUACUCCUUGAGAGCAGAGACUUGAAAAAAGUUCUUGGUCUCUUCAGCAGGUAAGUGUUCAAUGCGUGUUUGCUGAAUUAAAACUUCCUUAGGAAAAAAAUACUCAGCAAGUUAAAUAAUCUCCCCUGGAAACUUACACAGCUCAAACUUCAAAUUUUCCUGUUAAUUAAUAACCAAGAGGAUGUUGGGGCUUCUCUUACCACACUGAAAAGGGGAGAGUGUUUUUUUGUAAGAGAAUGCCAAAUGUCUUACUAACAUUUCGAGUGGGGAAGACUGUAGCCUACGGGGCACAUCCGUGCUUGUCAUGGUUAUCUCAUAUUAUUGAAACUUGACUCCUUUUCCCCUUUUGUCUCCACAGCUGGCUCAUUCUCAAUUUAUAGAUGAGCUUCUUGUCUUUUGUCUUCCCGUGUUAUGUUGGAACACUCUGUGAGCUUGUUGGCCUUCCAAGCACCAGCAGCCUUCACCAGGGAGGAAGGGGGUACACUGAGGAGCUGAGUUGAGGCUUCUUCUCCCCAAACCAAGCUUCAGAGGAAGUGGGGUCUUAAGGAUUUUCCAAAGCAUCUUGAAUCUUACUGCGCCACCUGCUGGAGAGAAAGGAAGUAAGGCGAUUGCAAACCAGCAGCACCCGGGGAACCUUCCCAAAGGAGAUCUUCAAGAGUGGGGGGCAAGAGCACGGGACAGGACGGUUCUGGCCACUCUCCGUGGAGACCCACAGGCAUCACUGAGCAUUCUGACCUGCCUUCUUGCUUCUAGGAAGACGAGUUCAACUUUGACCUCAACUACCCUGUGCAGAGAGGCUGAUGUCCCUCUUUGUAUGAUCCCAUGUGACCUCGUCCCUGAAAUGGACAAAUUAAAGACAUCCUUGGCUUCCAAGAUCCAUUCAACUUCCCCUGCGUUAAGAAGAGAAACCUGGGAAUGGCUUCGCGGAUGCAAGCAAUUGAACCGGAAGCUCCCGGAGGAGAGUGGAAACGACCACGGAAGAGUGCCAGUGUCUCCUCACAUGCAGAAGACGGACAUUCCUUUCAGGCUCUUCCCUGUACGUCUCUCCCUCUACUCCCAUCCCCCCCUCAUUUCCUCCAUCUUUGCACUGGAUGGCGGUUGACAGGCUGGGUUAUUUAUCCAAAGAGGUUACUGUUUGAGAAGCUAGAGUCCUUUCUUGAGGACUCACAUCCACUCCCUUCUUAAGGAGCCCCAGAGCCAGGGAUUCUGUUCCUGCCCAUGGCCGCCCAUUCUGAAAUUCUGUCGCUGCCACUAUCAAGAAGUUUCCUCCACGUCAACUGUCAUUCUUUGCGGGUUAGUUCAACACACACAUGCACUGAGAGUUACGCUGUGCUCAACAGUUGGAGAGCUGUGGAGAAGGUAAAAAUAAUUCUUGCUUCGAGGAAGUGAAAAGCAGGUUGAGGGGAACUAGUGGGUAGAAAGAUGAAGGAUUCCAAAAUUGAGUUUGUUCCCCUUUUGAAGGUAUUGUCUGUACAAAAACAGGUCACAUGUUUGGGAAAAUUAUGACCAGAGAGAAAUGACUUCAAUAAAAGGCCAUCUGUUCUGGAAUCAGCAGAA